GACGAACGCUGGCGGCGUGCUUAACACAUGCAAGUCGAACGGAAAGGCCCUGCUUUUGUGGGGUGCUCGAGUGGCGAACGGGUGAGUAACACGUGAGUAACCUGCCCUUGACUUUGGGAUAACUUCAGGAAACUGGGGCUAAUACCGGAUAGGAGCUCCUGCUGCAUGGUGGGGGUUGGAAAGUUUCGGCGGUUGGGGAUGGACUCGCGGCUUAUCAGCUUGUUGGUGGGGUAGUGGCUUACCAAGGCUUUGACGGGUAGCCGGCCUGAGAGGGUGACCGGCCACAUUGGGACUGGGAUACGGCCCAGACUCCUACGGGAGGCAGCAGUGGGGAAUAUUGCACAAUGGGCGGAAGCCUGAUGCAGCAACGCCGCGUGCGGGAUGACGGCCUUCGGGUUGUAAACCGCUUUCGCCUGUGACGAAGCGUGGGUGACGGUAAUGGGUAAAGAAGCACCGGCUAACUACGUG
rnacentral:rRNA from 1 species